GGAAGAGUGCGUUUGCGCGCGCUUGCCGAAGUCGCGGCAGCUCUGAGCGCAGUGGUGCGCGCCGGGAGGCGUGGCCGGGAGAGCAUUCAUAACGGGAAAGGUCAGGAGGGUUGGUGCCCUGGUGGACUGUAAGGGGCGGGGCCUGCAGGGAGUGGAGGAAUUAAAUGAAAUUGGGCGGGCCUUCAAUAAACCUUUAGAGGCUAGGGCUUAGUGGGCAAGGCCUUAAAGAGUGCUGACUGUGUGGUCACGGUCUUUUGGCGAUGAGUGGAGCUGGUACUGAGUAGGCGGGGCCAUUAUGGGGCGGAGCCUGGCGUGGAAUUGUUAGCUGGGUCCUUUUUGCUCUGGAGCAUGAGACAUCGUACUCUAGCCUCUUUCCCGGCCCUGUGGGCCUCCAUCCCCUGUCCACGCUCGGAACUGCGCCUGGACCUGGUUCUGGCUUCCGGACAGUCCUUCCGGUGGAGGGAGCAAAACCCUGCGCACUGGACUGGCGUGCUGGGGAACCAAGUAUGGACACUGACCCAGACUGAGGAGCAGAUCUACUGUACUGUGUACCGAGGGGACAAGGGUUGGGUUGGCAGGCCCACACCAGAAGAGCUAAAGACUGUGCACCAGUACUUCCAGCUGGAUGUCAGCCUGGCUCAACUAUAUCACCACUGGAGUUCCGUGGACCCCCACUUUCAAGAGGUGGCUCACAAAUUCCAAGGUGUUCGACUUCUGCAACAGGACCCCGUCGAGUGCCUUUUCUCCUUCAUCUGUUCCUCCAACAACAACAUUGCUCGCAUAACCGGCAUGGUAGAACGCCUCUGCCAGGCUUUCGGACCUCAGCUCAUCCAGCUGGAUGAUGUCACCUACCAUGGCUUCCCCAGCCUGCAGGCCCUGGCUGGGCCAGAGGUAGAAGCUCAGCUCAGGAAGCUGGGCCUGGGGUAUCGUGCCCGCUACGUGAAUGCCAGUGCCCGAGCCAUCCUAGAAGAACAGGGCGGGUUGCCCUGGCUGCAGCAGCUGCACAAGGCCCCCUACGAGGAGGCCCACAAGGCCCUCUGCACCUUGCCUGGGGUGGGCACCAAGGUAGCUGACUGCAUCUGCUUGAUGGCCCUAGACAAGCCCCAGGCCGUGCCCGUGGAUAUCCACAUGUGGCAGAUUGCCCAGCGUGACUACAGCUGGCACCCCACCAUGUCCCAGGCCAAGGGUCCAAGCCCCCAGGCUAACAAGGAACUGGGAACCCAGAGCUGCAGCCAAGAGCAGCCUCUGUUCCACCCACUGUCAGCCAGAAGUGAAAAGAUGAGCCAGACUGGGCCACGGCAAGGCCGCUGCAGGGCCUGGACUAUAGCAAACAGGAAGCAGUGAUAAACUGACCAGAGGAAGUACCACCCUGGAUGCAGUCGCCCUAGCCAGCCAGGCCCAAGACUCCAGGUUUCUCCCUCUCCAAAUCAAAACACUCAGGAGGACGCUGACCUCCAGGAGAACAGCAGAGAAGACCCCAGAGCAGCUUGUACAAAGCUCUCAGCCAUGGCAACAAGGUCACUGAGUGAGGAAACAGGAGUAUGAAUGAGGAAAGGGAGGCAAGUAGAUGGAGUGAAUGAACAAAGGAGACUGCCACUCUCCGCCCCUACCUGAGUGCCGUGCGGGCCACGCUGCAGGCUGCCCUCUGCCUGGAGAAUUUCUCC